GUAAUACUCCAUAGUUCGUUAUUACUGGAAUGUUUUUCGAACGAAAGAUCCGUCGCUUCAGGAUGAGUCUGCGGCCGAUUAGGUAGUUGUUGGGGUAAUUGCCCAACAAGCCUGUAAUCGGUACGGGUUGUGGGAGCAAGAGCCCGGAGAUGGAUUCUGAGACACGAAUCCAGGCCCUACGGGGCGCAGCAGGCGCGAAAACUUUACCAUGCGGGCAACCGUGAUAAGGAAACCCCGAGUGCCAGCACAGGCUGGCUGUCCGCCAGUUUAAACAACUGGCGAAGAAAGGGCCGGGCAAGACCGGUGCCAGCCGCCGCGGUAAUACCGGCGGCUCGAGUGGUGGCCGCUAUUACUGGGCUUAAAGGGUCCGUAGCUUGAUAAUAGGGUCCCUUGAGAAAUCCGCCGGCUUAACUGGCGGGCGUUCAGGGGAAACUUGUUUUCUAGGGACCGGGAGAGGUGAGGGGUACUGCCGGGGUAGGAGUGAAAUCCUGUAAUCCCGGUGGGACCACCUAUGGCGAAGGCAUCUCACCAGAACGGGUCCGACAGUGAGGGACGAAAGCUGGGGGAGCAAACCGGAUUAAAUACCCGGGUAGUCCCAGCUGUAAACUAUGUGCGUUAGGUGU
rnacentral:rRNA from 1 species